CAGUGAAAACGAGUAGGGCGGGACACGUGAUAUCCUGUCUGAAUAUGGGGGGACCAUCCUCCAAGGCUAAAUACUACUGACUGACCGAUAGUGAACCAGUACCGUGAGGGAAAGGCGAAAAGAACCCCUGUGAGGGGAGUGAAAUAGAACCUGAAACCGUGUACGUACAAGCAGUAGGAGCACCUUCGUGGUGUGACUGCGUACCUUUUGUAUAAUGGGUCAGCGACUUAAUUUUAGUAGCAAGGUUAACCGUUUAGGGGAGCCGUAGGGAAACCGAGUCUUAACUGGGCGUACAGUUGCUAGGAUUAGACCCGAAACCAGGUGAUCUAGCCAUGGGCAGGUUGAAGGUUGAGUAACAUCAACUGGAGGACCGAACCGACUAAUGUUGAAAAAUUAGCGGAUGACUUGUGGCUAGGGGUGAAAGGCCAAUCAAACCUGGAGAUAGCUGGUUCUCCCCGAAAGCUAUUUAGGUAGCGCCUCGGACGAAUACUACUGGGGGUAGAGCACUGUUAAGGCUAGGGGGUCAUCCCGACUUACCAACCCUUUGCAAACUCCGAAUACCAGUAAGUACUAUCCGGGAGACACACGGCGGGUGCUAACGUCCGUCGUGGAGAGGGAAACAACCCAGACCGCCAGCUAAGGUCCCAAAGUAUAGCUAAGUGGGAAACGAUGUGGGAAGGCUCAGACAGCCAGGAUGUUGGCUUAGAAGCAGCCAUCAUUUAAUAACGCUGAGAUACGAUGUCGAGCUACUACGGUAGUGAAGUCAUUGAUGCCAUGCUUCCAGGAAAAGCCUCUAAGCUUCAGAUUGUAAGGAAUCGUACCCCAAACCGACACAGGUGGUCGGGUAGAGAAUACCAAGGCGCUUGAGAGAACUCGGGUGAAGGAACUAGGCAAAAUGGUACCGUAACUUCGGGAGAAGGUACGCUCUUAUCAGUGAAGUCCCUUGCGGAUGGAGCAGACGAGAGUCGCAGAUACCAGGUGGCUGCAACUGUUUAUUAAAAACACAGCACUGUGCAAAAUCGUAAGAUGACGUAUACGGUGUGACGCCUGCCCGGUGCCGGAAGGUUAAUUGAUGGGGUUAGACUUCGGUCGAAGCUCUUGAUCGAAGCCCCGGUAAACGGCGGCCGUAACUAUAACGGUCCUAAGGUAGCGAAAUUCCUUGUCGGGUAAGUUCCGACCUGCACGAAUGGCGUAAUGAUGGCCACGCUGUCUCCACCCGAGACUCAGUGAAAUUGAAAUCGCUGUGAAGAUGCAGUGUACCCGCGGCUAGACGGAAAGACCCCGUGAACCUUUACUACAGCUUGGCACUGAACAUUGAACCUACAUGUGUAGGAUAGGUGGGAGACUAUGAAAUUGCGUCGCUAGAUGUGAUGGAGUCGUCCUUGAAAUACCACCCUUGUAGUUUUGAUGUUCUAACGUUGGUCCCUGAAUCGGGAUUACGGACAGUGCCUGGUGGGUAGUUUGACUGGGGCGGUCUCCUCCCAAAGAGUAACGGAGGAGCACGAAGGUGGGCUAAACACGGUUGGACAUCGUGUGGUUAGUGCAAUGGCAUAAGCCCGCUUGACUGCGAGAAUGACAAUUCGAGCAGGUGCGAAAGCAGGUCAUAGUGAUCCGGUGGUUCUGAAUGGAAGGGCCAUCGCUCAACGGAUAAAAGGUACUCCGGGGAUAACAGGCUGAUACCGCCCAAGAGUUCAUAUCGACGGCGGUGUUUGGCACCUCGAUGUCGGCUCAUCACAUCCUGGGGCUGAAGUCGGUCCCAAGGGUAUGGCUGUUCGCCAUUUAAAGUGGUACGCGAGCUGGGUUUAGAACGUCGUGAGACAGUUCGGUCCCUAUCUGCCGUGGGCGUUGGAAAAUUGAAAGGGGCUGCUCCUAGUACGAGAGGACCGGAGUGGACGAACCUCUGGUGUUCGGGUUGUCAUGCCAAUGGCAUUGCCCGGUAGCUAAGUUCGGAAUCGAUAACCGCUGAAAGCAUCUAAGCGGGAAGCGAGCCUUGAGAUGAGUUUUCCCUGGCACUAUAAGUGUCCUAAAGGGUUGUCGUAGACUACGACGUUGAUAGGCAGGGUGUGUAAGUGCUGCGAGGCAUUGAGCUAACCUGUACUAAUUGCCCGUGAGGCUUAACCAUACAACACCCAAGGGGUUU
rnacentral:rRNA from 1 species